rnacentral:rRNA from 1 species
GAUAAACGCUGGCGGCGUGCCUAAUGCAUGCAAGUCGAACGGGAACCUCUUCGGAGGUCGACCGUGGCGGACGGGUGAGGAACACGUAGCUAACCUGCCCAGACGUGGGGGAUAUCCACCGGAAACGGUGUGUAAUACCGCAUGAGCUCGAUACUCGGGAGGGUGUUGAGGAAAGGAUCUUCGGAUCUGCGUUUGGAGGGGGCUGCGGCCGAUUAGCUAGUUGGUGGGGUAAGAGCUCACCAAGGCGAUGAUCGGUAGCUGGUCUGAGAGGACGACCAGCCACACGGGGACUGAGACACGGCCCCGACUCCUACGGGAGGCAG